AGAAAAUAAGUCUUUUCACCACAUCAUCCAUUCUACAAAGCUUAAUUGAGCCCAACUGUGCCAGGCUUGGAAUCCAGUGAGCCAAACACCAGCCUCAGUUCCCCCAUCCUGAUCUUGCGGUGGAGGUGGGGGUGGGGGCAAUGCAGAAAGACACAGCCAAGGUGUGAACCAGGGCAGACACAUGAAGAUGGAGAAAAGACAGGAGGGGCUGUGGACAGGACUUGCUCCCGUAUUGAAGCGAGUGGACUUAAGAAUGUCACCAGGUGGGAGACAGAGCCCGAACACAAAGCUUAACUCCGUGCUUCCAGGUUCUCUGACCCAGUUUCCUAUGUAUAAAACAGAGACCAUGGUUGUGAUGAUUCAUUAAAGUGCCAAGACAAGGCUAGCCACCGGAAGUGCUCCAAGGAGUCAAGACAUACACAGGAGGCUACUCUGGACCAGCAGGCAAGACCUCCAGGGGCAUCGCUGCAGCCCAGAAAAGACCGGAGUCAGCCUGGCAGAGCCGCAGAGGGCGUGUAGGAGGCUCUGCCCCACCCUUGUGCUCCCAUCACUGGUCAUUUAUCAACCCCUCCACCGUAUUUUCAGGCAGGAGCACCCUGCUGUCCGGCAGCCUCCCCUCCCCUCUGCCGUGGGCCUGGCUGGGAGAGGUACCUGAACUCCGCUGGCAACCCAGGGCUCAGGCACUGGCUGGCAAGAUGAACUGUCUAAGAUGGUUAAUGAAGGCAGUGACAUACUCCUGGAGAGGUGAAGAAUUGCCAUCAUUUCAGCACUGAAUAACAUUCAUUAUUCGUUAUCUGUGAUGAAAGACCUUAUUUACUACCUGGGUACUCCCUCCUCCAAAACCAUGCCGAGGCAACCUUGUUAAUACCAAGAAGGAAUCAGUGCUGUUUGGUACUUGUAGACACGUGCAAAUCAAUGAAGAAUGGGUCUGUAUGUUUAGUCGGGGGGAAGGGCUCUGCUGGGGACAUUUUUGAAGCCAGUCCACAGUUUGGGGCUGUGGAUCAGUGCACAAGAAAGAACCAGUUUUCAAAAUUCUCUAAGCCUGUCACAUUAGCAGCUUGGAUUGUCCUCAGCGUCUUGAACACAGUUGUCAAGUACAGGCACUGACUUCACAGGACAAUAAAUGCUAUUUAGCUUCAUGUGCAAAGUUUGUUAACUGACUUGUGCAGAAGAAAGUCACAUCCCCUGGCUGGGAGCAGUGGCUCACACCUGUAAUCCCAGCACUUUGGGAGGCAGAGGCAGGAGGAUUGCUUGAGGCCAGGAGCUCAAGGUCAGCCUGAGGAACAUAGUGAGACCUCUGUCUCUGGAGAAAUAAAAAAAGUAAAAAUUAGCAGAGUGUGGUGGCUUGCACCUGUAGUCCCGGCUAUGUGGGGGAAUCACUUGAGCCCAGAAGUUUGAGGCUGCAGUGAGCUAGGAUCUCACCACUGUACUCCAGCCUGCGCAACAGAGUGAGACCUUGUCUCUUAAAAAGAAAAUUAAGAAAAAAAGAAAGUUCCAUCCCUGAGAGGUCUCCAGCUCCGGCCUCCACUAUAUAUUUGAGCAGUUUCCUCGUGCCCAUCACCAGCAUGGCACAAACCCAGCUGCCAUCCAGUAAGCGUGUGUGAGAGCUUCAAGAGCUCCUGUAGCCAAGACAGAGGGAAGAUGUCCACCAGGGAACCGACAGUGCUCUGUGGCCAGCGUGGGCAGCCCUGGAGGCGCCCUUGCUGCGGUCACCUGGGGCCUGAUUUGAACACUGGGCCCCACUGCUAAGUCUGGUCUCUGAUUAGUUCUCCUUACUGCUCCAGGUCUCCUCUCUCUGCCCAGGAUUCGUUUCCAUACAAAUAAAUGGCUGACAUCAGCUUUCAUCACCCUGGAGCCCAGGGGCACUUGUCUGGGGCUUGGCAGAGCAGCCUGCACUUCCAAUAGAGAAGUGUACUCCCAGGCAUGGGGUCACAGCAGGGCAUGGUAGGGAGUGGUCCCUGAAACUGUGACUACCCUCCUGCCUGGGGACAAGUACAGCUGCGGAGGAGGCUCCGUCCAAGAGGACCCAAACCUGGGGAUGUUCCGACUCUGCCUCUUCUCUUCAGCCUGAUCUUGCAUCUCAAAAUAGCACUCUCAUCUGCCGGCUUCCCAGGCUUGAUCUAACAAUGCAGAAACAGAUUUGAACUUCACACACUGUGCUUUUGUGUUUGCCAGCUUCAGAA
ensembl:lncRNA